GACGAACGCUGGCGGCGUGCUUAACACAUGCAAGUCGAACGGAAAGGCCCCCUUGUGGGGUACUCGAGUGGCGAACGGGUGAGUAACACGUGAGUAACCUACCCUUGACUUUGGGAUAACUUCAGGAAACUGGGGCUAAUACCGGAUAGGAGCUCCUGCUGCAUGGUGGGGGUUGGAAAGUUUCGGCGGUUGGGGAUGGACUCGCGGCUUAUCAGCUUGUUGGUGGGGUAGUGGCUCACCAAGGCUUUGACGGGUAGCCGGCCUGAGAGGGUGACCGGCCACAUUGGGACUGAGAUACGGCCCAGACUCCUACGGGAGGCAGCAGUGGGGAAUAUUGCACAAUGGGCGGAAGCCUGAUGCAGCAACGCCGCGUGCGGGAUGACGGCCUUCGGGUUGUAAACCGCUUUCGCCUGUGACGAAGCGUGAGUGACGGUAAUGGGUAAAGAAGCACCGGCGAACUACGU
rnacentral:rRNA from 1 species